rnacentral:rRNA from 1 species
CCUACGGGAGGCAGCAGUGGGGAAUAUUGCACAAUGGGGGGAACCCUGAUGCAGCAAUGCCGCGUGAAGGAUGAAGGUUUUCGGAUUGUAAACUUCUUUUGUACGGGACGAAGAAAGUGACGGUACUGUAAGAAUAAGCCACGGCUAACUACGUGCCAGCAGACGCGGUAAUACGGCGGUCGCAGGCGUUAUCCGGAUUUACUGGGUGUAAAGGGCGAGUGGGCGGGAUUGGAAGGCAGAUGUGAAAACUAUGGGGUCAACCGAUCGCGUGCGUUUGAAACUGCAGUUCUUGAGUGGUAGAGAGGCAGGCGGAAUGCCCGGUGUAGCGGUGGAAUGCGUAGAUAUCGGGAGGAACACCAGUGGCGAAGGCGGCAUGCUGGACAUUAACUGACGCUGAGGCGCGAAAGCGUGGGGAGCGAACAGGAUUAGAUACCCCAGUAGUC